rnacentral:lncRNA from 1 species
UUAUUUUUUUUUGUUUUUUUAGUUCGAGUCCACCGAGAUCACCGAGAGCAUUUCGGGGCGAACUGAAAGCCGUUUCGAAUUCUGAUCCAAAUUCGAAUGCUCAAAAAUGGCGUUUGAGCAAGACCACUAGAUUCGUCUCGUCGAACGAAGCUUCAGCACCAACCGCGUCAAAAUCAAAUGGCCAUAAAACGAGCUCACGCGCUACCUGAAUUCGGCGCGUCAGAUUCCACGCACCCCACGCGCGCCAGAGGGAAGAAGACGAUUGUCUUCCACGCGCCUCCACGUGCCCCGACGAGCCCGCACGGCCCAGAAUGAAGUUCUGGCCGAUAAGAAAAAGCAUGAAAAGUUUGAAACACUCCUCCUGCACAAAUAGUACACAAUGCAAAGCAAAAAAGGAAAAAGACAAAGAAAAAGACUGCAGUCAUGCUAUUUGGAUUUAAAAACAAAAAAAUCAAACCCUAGCUUUGACGCAUCAAGCCGUUGACCCGGUCAAACCGGCCGUUGACCGGCGUUGACACGAUCCGAGCCGAGCCUUGUUGACCAGAGCCGUUGAACCGUUGACCGGCGUUGACUGACCGCGUGUGGACCGAGCUUGACACGUUGAUCGUGACCAGUCAACGAAAUGCACUUUUUUCCCUGGACUUUCUGUUUAAUUAGAGAUUGGUCCCUAAAGUUUGGAAAUUUGCAAUUUAGUCCCUGAAAUUCUAAUUUAUUCAAUUUGGGUCCUAGAGUGUCUGAUUUCGACAGAAAAGCCCUUUUUGAGUUUUCUCGGCAUUCCGGAUUCAUCCACGAGGUCGGUUUUCAAAGAUUUUGCUUCUAUUUUGGAGAAGUAAGAAGGCGGAGUAAUUUGAGAGCCCUGAUCAUACUUUCAGAUGCGGAUUACGCCCCAGGAAAACCAAGGAUGAGGAGUGAGAUGAACAGAAAGAUGAAUGGGCGGCAUGGGACACGAGGUGUUCCAUCAUGUAGCACGAUGAGAGAGUGUUACAGAUCAGACAGCUUGACAUGAGGUGUUCCAACAUGUACACGAUAGACGAGGCUCAUGGAUUGUGACCAAGUUGAAGGGAGAUGUACCGGAAGAAGAAUCCAGACCAAACCUAUUUGAGGAGCUGUGUGAAGCUCAGAGAGGGACUACAAGUGGCGGACAAAACGAGUGGGAGUUCAGAGGCCACAAGAAAGGUCAAAAGAAGAGGCCCAGAGAAGAGGUCUCAAGAAGGAGGUCACAGAGGUCAGGAGAAAGAAGAGGUCAAGGAAAGAGAAACCGGUAGAUGAUGGCGGAGGGCAGAAUCCAGAGGUCGCACUUGUAAGUGCUUUUUUGCGACCCCCCCCCAGGAGGGACAAGAAGAAUUGUCAAGGAACAAAGCAAAGAUCAGUCUCAGAGGCAGCAACAACGUAUGAUGACUGUGUGAGGAGUGGAUGUUUCUCCUAGCAGUAUCCACGAUGAAGAGUCAGAUUGAUUUCUGAUUAGGAAUUCUUACCAAUGUGCAGAGACAGAGAGGUGUUCUCACACAGUAGCAUGCGAGGGACUUGUUCGGAUGGCUAAGAGGCGAUUGUUGGCAAGGAUAUCGGUUUCGCAUGGCAGACGGACGAUCAUAAAGGUGACCGUGGGUAAGGCAUGUUUCAUUGAGAUGCAGGAGUCGAAGCGAUGAAGCUUUGAAGCUGUGGAGGAACCUCAGAGUUCCAAGGGAAACAGGGAGGAAGCUGCAGAGACAGGAAAGACUGGAAGGCUUAUUACGACUGAGGGAGAAUGUCCAGACAGGAGAGCUGUGUCCGAAAUAGGUCCAGUGUAGUAGCAAGAUGAAUGGAAGAAGGAAGCGACAUCGUUGCAAGAGGCAAAGCAACGAAAGCGAAGGAGGAGAUGGAUGUACUUGAGGAUCCACAGUGGAACAAGAGCGGGCAAGGAGAUGCUUUGGGAUACGUGUGGAAGUCUGGCCAGACACGAGAAAGGUUGCAAACCUGUAGCAGGAUGUCCAUGAAGAAGCUCAGAGGAGAGAAAGAGUCGAUGCACAACGACAGGCGCGACGUCGCCGAACGAGUCUCUUCGCUCAAAGAUUAGUGGCGGUUGAUCUCUCCAGUUGUGCACCACACAGGAAGGUAGAGAUGGAGUCACUUGCAAAAGAGACGUACUUUGCCAGCGCACCUCGGUGAGGGGAGCGAGCACCUAAGGAGAAGGUGCAGGCACUCGGUUUGGAAGUGCCAUCACUUCGGUGGGAAGUGGAGUUGCCCAUUGAAGGGGGAACAUAUUCUCGGAUACUGUCUUGCAUAUCUUACGGGGGAGUGGACCAGCUUUAAGAUUACCCUCCAAUGGGGAAGGGGUAGAUGUUGGAUCCGCCCAAUGAAGAAAUUGAAGCCCAACCAUGAAGCCCAAGGCCCAAGCCAAAUCAAGCCCAAGGCCAAUAUGAAUAGAAAAAAUGACAUGAAUUGUAAUUCAUAUUGGGCAGAGACGAAAGGAAGGAAGAAAGAAGAAAGAAGAGAAGAAAAGAGAGAGAUGCUCUGACAGAAG